rnacentral:pre_miRNA from 1 species
GGCCUAAAUUUGGAAUAGGGUAGAUUAGUAGGAUCGGCUGACCCUACUGAACUAUUCAACUUCAAGUUUGAGCUC